rnacentral:rRNA from 1 species
AACGCGAAGAACCUUACCUGGGCUAGAGUGCCUCUGACAACCCUAGAGAUAGGGCCUCCAAGGUAAAACUUGGCAGAGUGCAAGGUGCUGCAUGGCUGUCGUCAGCUCGUGUCGUGAGAUGUUGGGUUAAGUCCCGCAACGAGCGCAACCCUUAUCUUUAGUUGCCAGCAUUUAGUUGGGCACUCUAGAGAGACUGCCGUUGACAAAACGGAGGAAGGUGGGGAUGACGUCGAGUCCUCAUGGCCUUUAUGUCCAGGGCUACACACGUGCUACAAUGGCCGGUACAAACCGCCGCAAACUCGCAAGAGGGAGCCAAUCGGAAAAAGCCGGUCUCAGUUCGGAUUGAAGUCUGCAACUCGACUUCAUGAAGUUGGAAUCGCUAGUAGUCGCAGGUCAGCAUGCUGCGGUGAAUACGUUCCCGGGUCUUGUACACACCG